rnacentral:rRNA from 1 species
GUGGGGAAUAUUGGGCAAUGGGCGAAAGCCUGACCCAGCAACGCCGCGUGAAGGAAGAAGGCUUUCGGGUUGUAAACUUCUUUUAUGAGGGAAGAUAAUGACGGUACCUCAUGAAUAAGCCACGGCUAACUACGUGCCAGCAGCCGCGGUAAUACGUAGGUGGCAAGCGUUGUCCGGAUUUACUGGGUGUAAAGGGCGUGUAGGCGGGACUGCAAGUCAGAUGUGAAAUUUCGGGGCUCAACCCCGAAACUGCAUUUGAAACUGUGGUUCUUGAGUAUCGGAGAGGCAGGCGGAAUUCCUAGUGUAGCGGUGAAAUGCGUAGAUAUUAGGAGGAACACCAGUGGCGAAGGCGGCCUGCUGGACGACAACUGACGCUGAGGCGCGAAAGCGUGGGGAGCAAACAGGAUUAGAAACCCCGGUAGUCC